rnacentral:rRNA from 1 species
UGGGGAAUAUUGGACAAUGGGCGAAAGCCUGAUCCAGCCAUGCCGCGUGUGUGAAGAAGGUCUUCGGAUUGUAAAGCACUUUAAGUUGGGAGGAAGGGCAGUAAGCGAAUAUCUUGCUGUUUUGACGUUACCGACAGAAUAAGCACCGGCUAACUCUGUGCCAGCAGCCGCGGUAAUACAGAGGGUGCAAGCGAUAAUCGUAAUUACUGGGCGUAAAGCGCGCGUAGGUGGUUCGUUAAGUUGAAUGUGAAAGCCCCGGGCUCAACCUGGGAACUGCAUCCAAAACUGGCGAGCUAGAGUAGGGCAGAGGGUGGUCGAAUUUCCUGUGUAGCGGUGAAAUGCGUAGAUAUAAGAAGGAACACCAGUGGCGAAGGCGACCACCUGGGCUCAUACUGACACUGAGGUGCGAAAGCGUGGGGAGCAAACAGG